rnacentral:rRNA from 1 species
UACGUAGGUGGCAAGCGUUGUCCGGAAUUAUUGGGCGUAAAGCGCGCGCAGGCGGUCCUUUAAGUCUGAUGUGAAAGCCCACGGCUCAACCGUGGAGGGUCAUUGGAAACUGGGGGACUUGAGUGCAGAAGAGGAAAGUGGAAUUCCACGUGUAGCGGUGAAAUGCGUAGAGAUCGGGAGGAACACCAGUGGCGAAGGCGGCCUUCUGGACCAGCACUGACACUCAAGCACGAAAGCGUGGGGAGCAAACAGG